GACUCUCGGCAACGGAUAUCUCGGCUCUCGCAUCGAGGAAGAACGUAGCGAAAUGCGAUGACGGGGUGGAAUGGCAGAAGCCCGUGAACCAGUCGAGGCUGUGAACGCAAGGUGCGCCCGAAGCCGGGAGGCCGAGGGCACGUCUGCCUGGGCGUGC
rnacentral:rRNA from 1 species